GUGUCGGACAGGCUCUUUUGGGUGGAGUGGGUGAAGCUCGAGCCUCUCCAUCUGUUGUCGACUUUCAGCAGAUCUUCACGGACGUCGUUUUGAGAAUUGGAAAUCUCUGCAAAAGGAAAUAAACCAUUCUCCGGACUUGAUUUUUACAUCCCUGUGAAGAAGAAGAGCGCCGUGAUGAGCAGCAGGCUCGCUGGUGGCUUCCCUACCUGUACGCGUGGCAGACCGUGCACUUCCAGAUCGCUGCUCCCACACGACACUUGUUGCAGAUGCGGUGGCUGCAGCCGCGGCAGACUGCGCCAGAGUUCCAGAACUUUCCCA